AACAAGGCGUACCUGCGGACCUGCGGAGGGAUCAUUACAAAAUUCUCGGUGGCGCAGCCGGUUACGGCCCGCGCCCCCGCUGGAAGCGCCGGGAGGCGUCUAACAGCGUAACCCCCUUGUGAAAUCAACCCCGUUGCUUCGGCAGCCCCUCCCAGGAGCGGUAAGCCUGCCGCCAGCAUCACGGAAACUCAAUCUGAAAACUUGCACCCCCCUUGUCUGAACGGCGCAGUCGAAUGACUA
rnacentral:misc_RNA from 1 species